GGAAGGGUUACUGUGGCUUAAAAAAAAAAGUCCCAAACAUGGAACCACCCACCUGAAGAAAGUCAAAACAGUUUUUGAGAAAAACACUGUAAUUCAACCCCACUAAAUAGAAACAAUGAUAUAAGUUACUGUGAGACACUACUGCAGAACCAAAUGUAUUUACUCAAAAGAGAGUAUUUGCUGCUGAACAUAGUUAACAGUUGUUUAGAAUCAGAUACUUACAAAAAGCAUUUUUAAGCAAAAGUCUCUCUUAAAGAAAAAAAGAAAGAUUUUCACAUGAUCUCACUUAGAAAAAAUCUGUUUCAAAUUGCCCUACGUGUCCUGGCCUCAAGCCCAUUUUUACUGAAGGCCUUUCCUGUACAGUUCCAUAGGGGAUGGGAAUCUCUACAAAGUUUGCCUUAAAAGGACGUGUCAGAUGCCCAGUGUAUACCACGUUAUGCAGCUACAGAAGCUAACAAUUCUGAGUACAAAGAAGUGUCUAUCCUUUAUUCUCCAAGGCAAAUUAUAAACUAUUUGCAGGCAAGAAAAAGCAUCCAAAUUAAUGUUCUGUCAAAAAAAGACAAGGUGAGACAAAAAUCAGUGAUGUGCUGCUCUCCCACAAGAAUGUGUGCAUUCAUCUGUUUUAUGGGUAUUGACUCAGCAACAGGACUAUAAUCAGUAUUUUUCUCUAAAUUUUAAGCUAAGUCUAACUCUGAAACCACAUAAAGACCACAUUCAUUUGUAAAUUUUAAACAAGCAAGCAUUACUGUAAUGCAAAUCAUAGUUUUUAUUUUCUGAGGCCGCUAAUCCCAUUUAAUUGUUGUGACUGUCAAGCUCUAUUUGCUUUCUUCAGAAGUGUUCUAGUCAUAAGAGGUACACUGUGAGCUUGCAUUCAAACGAUGCACAAUACUUAUCUCCUUAAAAAAUAACCUUAGCAAGUUUUAUGAUUUUCUACCACCAGUGUAAGAUUUACUAGAAGGUUAUUAAUCCACCAUAAACAAGGUCACUGUAAUACACUUUAUACAGGCACAGAAAAUGCUUUAAAUUUUAAAGUGCAGACACAGUGUGCUUACUAAGGUUAAACAUAACAAAAGUUUCAGCCAACAUCCUCACUGUUCAUUUACUUGUGCCCCAUGCUGGUGCAGCACUGGCAGUUCUGUCUGUGCUGUCCCCACACACAGGAGCAGACCCGUGUGGUGCUCCACCUCUGCCUUGAGGUUCAUGAGGCAGCAGGAGCUAAUCCUGGCUAUGCCAUGCCAUUCAUCACCUUCCUCCUAGAAAAAAUGGUGUAAGAUGAGAGGCAGAACUGGAAAUUACACCCCUCACUCAGGGCUUAAGACGGGCAGUGACACCUGCCCUGCAGUUCAAGCACGGCCUGCGCUGCUCCAUGCCUCAGGUCUGAGGACUCCAAAAGAUAACUGCCAACUUUGCAAUGAAGUGUCAAAAUUUUCUGGGGAUUUAAACCACUGGGCAAAGGAAGUUAACUCCUGUGUCAGUGGUUUACAGCAAUAGAUGUUCCCGGGGCAGCCACUUUCAUAUAUCUGUUUAAUCUACUCUGGGGCUCCCGAGCUGUGACACUGGGUACAGGGCAUAUCUACCAGGCAGGGUUGUGCGAGGGCUCCCAAAGGCAAGUCUCGUUUGUGGGCUUGGGCAAGUGUGCAGAACAGGCAUGAGUGCUAACAUCCAAGCUGCUGGCAAGAGAAGUGUUUCCAUGGCAAAUCACUUGCUUCUGCUCAUUGUAAAAAGAGAUGUAUCCCUGCUAUGAACUCUCAACCCAAUGCUACUUAGGCUCCAUCGCCAUUAGUCUGUACCUCUUUUUAGUGCUGUAGUAUUAAUACUUCUAUUGAAGUAGCCACAGAAUUGGAAACCUGCACUUGAUCAUGCCUAAGAGAACAGACCUGUCCCGAGAUUGUAAUAGUGAAAGUGGAAAAUGGAUUAGACACAUCAAGGUAGAGUAGACACACUGAGAGAGUAAAGGAUGAAGAUGAGUGGAAAGAUUGUAGGUAAGAUUCUCCACUGCUGGCUUAUCUUGCUUGUCUAAAAACAACAAAAAAAUCUAAUUAAUCUGCAUUAAUACCAGUUCUCAGUCAGUAUGAGAAGCCUUCACACACAGGAUUUAACACCAGGAGAUAGGUUACUACAGCUUAAUAAAGCCAGUGUAUAGGUGCUGAAGAGGCAAGCAGGGAAAUUUUCUACCUUUUACAGUCUCCUAUGAAAGUCUCUGUUCUCGUGCGAACUAGCUGAGAGACGGUUUCCUAUUUUGUAAACUACUUACAGGUGCAGAGUGUUGUGAGAAUUCAGUAGAUAUUGUUUUGGUUCAUUGAGAAUAAUAUUUUGAGAAUGGGAACUAUUUCUCUCAACCAAUCAUUUUGGUGGGAGGUUAAUCAAUAGGCCAAUCAUGUAAUUUCUCUAUUGCGAAUCAUGCUAUAAAAAGACGGGUUUUUGGCAUUAAAGAGUCAGCCUUGACCAUCUUCUCUGACCUGAAUUUGUGUCGUUCUUCAUGCCAUGCCUGCGGACAACAGUGACACCAGUGAUUCACUGGGUUUCAAAGAAAAAAAAAAUCCUCUGCAAAAUUUCCAGCAAGAGACUAAACUCAUGUUUCAGCAGCUGAGGUGCAAACACGUUCUCAGAAGUGCAAGAGGCAUCUGCCCAGAAAAGGAACACAGCAUGCUUUGGAAGUGGAGGGCAGCAGGACCAUGCUCAAGAAUGAGGAAAAGAGACCCCUAACAGAGACCAGACACCAUAUUGGUGUGAACUAAGGUAAGCAGCAAAACAAGAGAAGGGUGGAGCCUCAAAAGGAAAAGAAAAAAAAAAAAGGAAAAAAAUCCCUAAACACCAAACUACACAUAGAUUUUAAGCUUAGAGACUGAAUCCUGAACCUCAAUUAAAUAAAAUUCUUAAAAAGUAUCAGGACAUGUUAUAUUCAUCUAUUCAAAUACCACAGCAAACAAAAGGUCUCUCUGAACACUAAUACAAUGUCAAAUGAGAAAAUAAAAACCAAAACCUAAGGAUUUUUUUAUCCAGCACAGCUGGACCCUCAGGCAGCAUAGCUGUGAAGCUGUCUGUUUUCUGCAGAAAAACAUUGCUUGGGAUCAGCACUGAAAAUUUCAAACAAGGGUAUCUAACACUAUCAUUCAAGCAGGGAGGUACUACAGCUACUUACAAACAUUACCCUAAGAGCACAUUAAAAAACCCAUAACACAAUAGUUUGCACAAAGGCCAAUAUUUUAGAAAGCGUGAUUAUAAUCAGUAGCAAAAACUGAUCCUCCAAGAGUUGGAAACUAAUUCUUCAAAUCUUCAUGAGACAGAAAAAUCUGGAAAAAGGCAUUUCUGAUCUUUACAGAGACAUUAUCUGCUGAUCCUCUAGAAUUAUACAGAUGAACAGACAGACACACAUCUAACCCACAAACACAUGCAAGAUACUAGAUUGGAGGUACACGAUAUAUCUGUAUAUAACACAACUGCUUUGAAAUUUGAUCUCUUACAGUGAGAACAACAUUCUAAAAGCUCAAGGCUACAUCUCUUCUGGAGUUUUUGCUGUUCAUUGGUGGCUUUUUUGUUUGCUUGGGUUUUUUGAAGGGAGAUGAGUUCAUUCCUCUUUGGUGCACUUGAAUUAUUUUCUAUGGCACUGCUGCAAUGACAUUUCCAAAGAACGCAACAGAAACCUGCAAACAAGUAAACUGGAGCUGCCCCCAAACAUCCAUCCCUCUGCAAUAUUUGCAUUGAAGGCAGAGAAUGUGAGUGAAACAAAACUCAGCAAAAUGAAGUAGAAGGCCCUUUGCAUAAAGGUGUGAAAUACACCAGUUUCAAACCCUCUGCUAAUGCAUGGGCUUGGAACAGUUCCUCAGGAGGGCCUAAGGAAGCUGAUGGCAAUAAGAAACUGAAAGAAAGAACAAAGAACUAACUUCUUCCCAUCUUGUCCCCAUUAAGGGAUCACUGUUAAGCCUACAUAAUUUUGGCAAUAAUUUUUAAAGUAGAAGAGCAUCUACUUUCUUCCUAAUUAACAUGCAAUAACACACUACACGUUUUAGGCUUUUUUUUAGGUUUGGGUUGUUUUGGGGUUUUUUUUCAGUGUGUAAUGGUGUAGAUAAAUCACUAAGUUUAGAUGCUGGAAGCAACCACUCUGGAAGACAUUUGGUUACAUGAUGUCAUCAAACUUUGCAGCAGAACCCACAACCAUCCUGAGAAAGCCAAUAAAGAAAAAAAAAAAAAAGCAAAAUGUUAUUUUGUAAAGCAUAAAUUACAAUGUUUAAAGGAA